GCCGCAGUAGCUCAGCCGGUAGAGCAACGCAUUCGUAAUGCGUAGGUCGGGGGUUCGAAUCCCUCCUGCGGCACCA
rnacentral:tRNA from 1 species